GUUGUUUUGGGCGGCCAAAGACAACGCCAGGGCAUCAAAAUUGACCUGCGAAGGAUUAGACAAUGCAGGUGCGACGGCUUCGGUCGCAGUGAUUAGCA
rnacentral:tRNA from 1 species